rnacentral:pre_miRNA from 1 species
GCCAUUAUGCGUUACUGUCAAUAAGCUUAACUAUAAAUCAUAAAACAUUUCCGAAUUCUCAGAAAUGUUUUAUGAUUUAUAGUUAAGCUUAUUGACAGUAACGCAU